rnacentral:rRNA from 1 species
UAAACUACGAUUAGAUACCCUAUUAUUUUAAAUGUAAAUUUAUUAAACUUGAGUAGUAAUAGUUAUGUUCUUGAAACUCAAAGAAUUUGGCGGUGUUUUAGUCUUUUCAGAGGAACCUGUCCCGUAAUCGAUAAUCCACGUUAAACCUUACUUAUCUUUGUUAUCAACUUGUAUACCGCCGUCGUCAGAAUGUCCUAAGAAGGAUUUAAUUUUCUUAAAUUUUUAUUAAAAAUGAUGUCAGGUCAAGGUGUAGUUUAUGGAUAAGUGGAGAUGGGUUACAAUAAAAGUAUUUAUAACGUAUAAAUUUUUGCAAUAAAAUUUUGAAGGUGGAUUUGAUAGUAAUUAAAUUAAUUAAAGUAAUUUGAUUUUGGCUCUAAAACAUGCACACAUCGCCCGUCGCUCUUA